rnacentral:lncRNA from 1 species
AUUCGUUCUUGAUAGCCAUUUCCUUAACAAGUGAAUGGAAACAUACUCUGGAUCGGAAUCCCAAGAAAGUACUACUUGAUCAUUUCCACUAAUUUCAAGUCCUUAUUAUGAUUCCUUUUAUGGGAAAAAUCUCUAAUUCUUAGAUUUCCCCAUUACUAAUCCUUUAUGUACUUUAGUGUUCCUGACCUUUCACUAACUUUUGAUGGAUU